rnacentral:rRNA from 1 species
UACAGAGGGGGCAAGCGUUGUUCGGAAUUACUGGGCGUAAAGGGCGCGUAGGCGGCCUUCUAAGUCAGACGUGAAAUCCCCGGGCUCAACCCCGGGCCUGCAUCCGAUACUGGCGGACUCGAGGCAGACAGGGGAGAGUGGAAUUCCCGGUGUAGCGGUGAAAUGCGCAGAUAUCGGGAGGAACACCGGUGGCGAAGGCGGCUCUCGUGGGUCUGUCCUGACGCUCAGGCGCGAAAGCUAGGGGAGCAAAACAGG